CCAUGGCAGCUCCUCAAGAACGUUGUCCAACGAAGAUAUGCGGGUGGAGAUCACUCUGUUAAAGGUGGAUAUGAGAUUGUCAGCCGGUGUAUAGUCACAUUGGUGACGUCUCCCAUUGCGUUCACGACAUAUAUAGGUGGUAGAUCGUAGGUUGAAAAAACGGAGGAAAACAAAAGACCAUCGCCAGUCCGGAUUAGCUCUGUGUCUGAGGAUACUGAGCCAU